CGCUAGCGGCAGCUUAUACAUGCAAGUCGUGGGGCAGCAUGAGUAGCAAUACUUGAUGGCGACCGGCAAACGGGUGAGGAACACGUACACAACCUUCCUUCAAGCGGGGAAUAGCCCAGAGAAAUUUGGAUUAAUACCCAUAAUAUAUUUGAUAAGGCAUCUUAUUAAUAUUAAAGCUUCGGCACUUGAUGAUGGGUGUGCGGCUGAUUAGAUAGUUGGCGGGGUAACGGCCCACCAAGUCUACGAUCAGUAGCUGAUGUGAGAGCAUGAUCAGCCACACGGGCACUGAGACACGGGCCCGACUCCUACGGGAGGCAGCAGUAAGGAAUAUUGGACAAUGGACGAGAGUCUGAUCCAGCCAUGCCGCGUGAAGGAUUAAGGUCCUCUGGAUUGUAAACUUCUUUUAUAUGGGACGAAAAAAGGGCAUUCUUGUUCACUUGACGGUACCAUAUGAAUAAGCACCGGCUAACUCCGUG
rnacentral:rRNA from 1 species